rnacentral:rRNA from 1 species
UACGAAGGGGGCUAGCGUUGUUCGGAAUUACUGGGCGUAAAGCGUGCGCAGGCGGCUUCUCAAGUCAGGGGUGAAAGCCCAGAGCUCAACUCUGGAAUUGCCUUUGAGACUGAGUGGCUUGAGUACGAGAGAGGUGAGUGGAAUUCCCAGUGUAGAGGUGAAAUUCGUAGAUAUUGGGAAGAACACCGGUGGCGGAGGCGGCUCACUGGCUCGUAACUGACGCUCAUGCACGACAGCGUGGGGAUCAAACAGG